rnacentral:rRNA from 1 species
UCAUUUAGAGGAAGUAAAAGUCGUAACAAGGUUUCCGUAGGCGAACCUGCGGAAGGAUCAUUACAAGUGAGGCUACCGAACGCUGGAAACAGCGGUUAGGAGCUUACACCCACCCGUGUUUACAUACUAUUGUUGCUUUGGCGGGCCCGUGGCCUCCACUGCGGGCUCUGCUCGUGUGUGCCCGCCAGAGGACCAAACUCUGAAUGUUAGUGAUGUCUGAGUACUAUCUAAUAGUUAAAACUUUCAACAACGGAUCUCUUGGUUCUGGCAUCGAUGAAGAACGCAGCGAAAUGCGAUAAGUAAUGUGAAUUGCAGAAUUCAGUGAAUCAUCGAAUCUUUGAACGCACAUUGCGCCCUUUGGUAUUCCGAGGGGCACGCCUGUUCGAGCGUCAUUUAAACCAUCAAGCCUAGCUUGGUCUUGGGCGCGGUCGAGUGACCCGUCCGCAACCCGUUGGCGGCGCAGUCCGGCUUCAAGCGUAGCAAGAAUUUCGCUUCAGGAGUCCGCGGCGGUGCCCGCCAGGUAAUCACAUCCCAAAGUUUGACCUCGGAUCAGGUGAGGAUACCCGCUGAACUUAAGCAUAUCAAU